rnacentral:tRNA from 1 species
GCCUGAGUGGCUCAGUUGGUUGAGCUACUGACUUCAGCUCAGGUCAUGAUCUUGCGGUUUGUGGGUUCGAGCCCCACCCCAGGCC